rnacentral:tRNA from 1 species
GACAGUGCCUAGCGGAGUGGUUAACGCGCUGCGUAAGUUCCUACGACACCAUUAUUGUCCACUCGUCUCUAAUCAAACAAUAGCCUGCUAUUACCAUCGUAUAGCGAGAUCAGGCAGUUCCUUCGGGAGCGUGUGUUCGAAUCACACAGGUGUCG